AUAAUUUUGCACCGUAAAGGUUCGCCUAAUACGUGAUUGAAAGGGAACGGAGUGAGAAUCUCCGACUGUCCCGCAGCUGUAAGCUCCUUUAUGCUCAGUGACGACAGGCCACUGCCCAGAAGAAUGUUUCUUCGGUUUUUCUGUUUCGGGUGGGAAGGUGUCAUGAGAGUGGAGCGAAGUCAGAAUACCUGCCUUUAUGUUAGUCUUUGCG
rnacentral:ncRNA from 19 species